UACGUAGGUGGCAAGCGUUAUCCGGAAUUAUUGGGCGUAAAGAGCGCGCAGGUGGUUAAUUAAGUCUGAUGUGAAAGCCCACGGCUUAACCGUGGAGGGUCAUUGGAAACUGGUUGACUUGAGUGCAGGAGAGGAGAGUGGAAUUCCAUGUGUAGCGGUGAAAUGCGUAGAUAUAUGGAGGAACACCGGUGGCGAAAGCGGCUCUCUGGCCUGUAACUGACACUGAGGCUCGAAAGCGUGGGGAGCAAACAGG
rnacentral:rRNA from 1 species